rnacentral:rRNA from 1 species
CACGCCGUAAACGAUGAACACUAGCUGUUUGGAGGUAUCGACCCCUUCAGAAGCGAAGCUAACGCGUUAAGUGUUCCGCCUGAGUAGUACGAUCGCAAGAUUAAAACUCAAAGGAAUAGACGGGGACCCGCACAAGCGGUGGAGCGUGUUCUUUAAUUGGAUGGUACGCCAAGAACCUUACCCAGGUUUGACAUCCUUCGAAGGACUAUGAAAAUAGACUGUGCUUUAUUGAACGAAGUGACAGGUGU